CCCGGCACUCUUGCCCAGAGCGGCUCAGCAUGGGGUGGGCAGGCCAGCACAGUGAGCCAGGCCUGACCCAAUUUGGAUGGCAAGAGAAAGGCUUGAAAUACCUGUUAAGAAGUCCCUCCUAGGGUCUAACCUCAAUCUGGGGACGUGAAGGCUCACUGCUCUGAAGCUAGAGGGACUUCUGGAAGGGACUGAUGGAUUCCAGAUGCCAGGAGCACCGUCACCCAGGGAUGACUCUGAGGGUGGGGAGGAGGGAGAGCUGGGACAGACAUAACAGGGGCUGAGACAAUUCUGUUCCUGGCAUGUUGGGUGGCUACUUGGGAGCUGCCCACCCACUCUGGGCCUCUGUUCUCCCACUGACCAAGGAGCCUGGAAACAUGAUUUUCCACUCCAUUCCCAGGCUCCCAGCCCCACUUCCGCCUCUACCCCUCUUAGCUAUUGAACCAAUUU
rnacentral:lncRNA from 10 species